GGCGCUGGGCGCCGGCGCCUGGGCGCUGCUGGGCCUCUUGGGCAUGGACCCUUCGUUCGACGCCGCGCUGCGCCU
rnacentral:tRNA from 1 species